AUUUUGUUUACUUUUAAAGACCGAGGUGGUCUGUUUUUACAUUCAUAGGCCAAAGCGCUUCAAGAAAAGUCCAAAUAGUGUAACGUGACUCGAACCAUAUAUAUUCGGGUUUGGAAAAACGUAACGGGCGCCCUAUAUGGUGUCAUGCACUUUAACAUCUUUUUCAACUCCUGAGAAAAAACAUUAUUGACGAUUCACGUCAUACAAAUCGAAUACUUAAGUUACGUAAUCGCUAUGCAUACUAUGGUUUG